GAUGAAGAACGUAGCGAAAUGCGAUAAGUAAUGUGAGUUGCAGAAUUCAGUGAAUCAUCGAAUCUUUGAACGCACAUUGCGCCCGCCAGUAUUCUGGCGGGCAUGCCUGUCCGAGCGUCAUUUCAACCCUCGAACCCCUCCGGGGGGUCGGCGUUGGGGACCUCGGGAGCCCCUAAGACGGGAUCCCGGCCCCGAAAUACAGUGGCGGUCUCGCCGCAGCCUCUCCUGCGCAGUAGUUUGCACAACUCGCACCGGGAGCGCGGCGCGUCCACGUCCGUAAAACACCCAACUUCUGAAAUGUUGACCUCGGAUCAGGUAGGAAUACCCGCUGAACUUAAGCAUAUCAAUAAGCGGAGGA
rnacentral:misc_RNA from 1 species